rnacentral:rRNA from 1 species
GACGAACGCUGGCGGCGUGCUUAACACAUGCAAGUCGAACGGAAAGGCCCUGCUUUUGUGGGGUGCUCGAGUGGCGAACGGGUGAGUAACACGUGAGUAACCUGCCCUUGACUUUGGGAUAACUUCAGGAAACUGGGGCUAAUACCGGAUAGGAGCUCCUGCUGCAUGGUGGGGGUUGGAAAGUUUCGGCGGUUGGGGAUGGACUCGCGGCUUAUCAGCUUGUUGGUGGGGUAGUGGCUUACCAAGGCUUUGACGGGUAGCCGGCCUGAGAGGGUGACCGGACACAUUGGGCCUGAGAUACGGCCCAGACUCCUACGGGAGGCAGCAGUGGGGAAUAUUGCACAAUGGGCGGAAGCCUGAUGCAGCAACGCCGCGUGCGGGAUGACGGCCUUCGGGUUGUAAACCGCUUUCGCCUGUGACGAAGCGUGAGUGACGGUAAUGGGUAAAGAAGCACCGGCUAACUACGUG